UACGUAGGGUGCAAGCGUUAUCCGGAAUUAUUGGGCGUAAAGAGCUCGUAGGCGGUUUGUCGCGUCUGCUGUGAAAACUGGGGGCUCAACCCCAGCCUGCAGUGGGUACGGGCAGACUAGAGUGCGGUAGGGGAGAUUGGAAUUCCUGGUGUAGCGGUGGAAUGCGCAGAUAUCAGGAGGAACACCAAUGGCGAAGGCAGAUCUCUGGGCCGUAACUGACGCUGAGGAGCGAAAGCAUGGGGAGCGAACAGG
rnacentral:rRNA from 1 species